GACGAACGCUGGCGGCGUGCCUAAUACAUGCAAGUAGAACGCUGAAGCUCGGUGCUUGCACCGUGCGGAUGAGUUGCGAACGGGUGAGUAACGCGUAGGUAACCUGCCUGGUAGCGGGGGAUAACCAUUGGAAACGAUAGCUAAUACCGCAUAAGAGUAGAUGUUGCAUGACAUUUGCUUAAAAGGUGCAAUUGCAUCACUACCAGAUGGACCUGCGUUGUAUUAGCUAGUUGGUGAGGUAACGGCUCACCAAGGCAACGAUACAUAGCCGACCUGAGAGGGUGGGCGGCCACACUGGGACUGAGACACGGCCCAGACGGAUACGGGAGGGAGCAGUAGGGAUUCUUCGGCAAUGGGCGGGAGUCUUACCAAGCAACGCCGAAGGAGUGAAGAGGGUUUUCGGGUCGGAAAGCUCUGUUGUAGGGGAAGAACGAGUGUGAGAGUGGAAAGUUCACACUGUGACGGUAACGUACCAGAAAGGGACGGCUAACUACGUG
rnacentral:rRNA from 1 species